rnacentral:rRNA from 1 species
GACGAACGCUGGCGGCGUGCUUAACACAUGCAAGUCGAGCGGAAAGGCCCUUUCGGGGGUACUCGAGCGGCGAACGGGUGAGUAACACGUGAGUAAUCUGCCCCUGGCUUUGGGAUAGCCACCGGAAACGGUGAUUAAUACCGGAUAUGACCACUUUGCGCAUGCGUUGUGGUGGAAAGUUUUUCGGCCAGGGAUGUGCUCGCGGCCUAUCAGCUUGAUGGUGAGGUAAUGGCUCACCAUGGCUUCGACGGGUAGCCGGCCUGAGAGGGUGACCGGCCACACUGGGACUGAGACACGGCCCAGACUCCUACGGGAGGCAGCAGUGGGGAAUAUUGGACAAUGGGCGGAAGCCUGAUCCAGCAACGCCGCGUGAGGGAUGACGGCCUUCGGGUUGUAAACCUCUUUCAGUACCGACGAAGCGUAAGUGACGGUAGGUACAGAAGAAGCACCGGCCAACUACGUGCCAGCAGCCGCGGUAA